GAUGAACGCUAGCGGCAGGCUUAACACAUGCAAGUCGAGGGGUAACAGGUCUUCGGACGCUGACGACCGGCAAACGGGUGCGGAACACGUACGCAACAUACCCACUACAGGGGGAUAGCCCGGAGAAAUCCGGAUUAACACCCCAUAGUAUGCUUGGAGGGCAUCCUUUAGGCAUUAAAAAUUUAUUGGUAGUGGAUUGGCGUGCGUCCCAUUAGAUAGUUGGCGGGGUAACGGCCCACCAAGUCAGCGAUGGGUAGCUGGUGUGAGAGCACGACCAGCCACACGGGCACUGAGACACGGGCCCGACUCCUACGGGAGGCAGCAGUGAGGAAUAUUGGUCAAUGGGCGCAAGCCUGAACCAGCCAUGCCGCGUGGAGGAUGACAGCCUUCUGGGUUGUAAACUUCUUUUAUAUGGGAAGAAAAAUACGGUUUCUACUGUAUCCGACGGUACCAUAUGAAUAAGCACCGGCUAACUCCGUGCCAGCAGCCGCGGUAAUACGGAGGGUGC
rnacentral:rRNA from 1 species